rnacentral:rRNA from 1 species
GACGGAGGGGGCAAGCGUUGGCCGGAAUCACUGGGCGUAAAGCGCGUGUAGGCGGGCGCGUGCGUCGGUGCUGAAAGCGCCCGGCUUAACCGGGCGAGGCGUGCCGAUACGAUGCGACUGGAGGCAGGCAGAGGGCGGCGGAAUUCCGGGUGUGGCGGUGAAAUGCGUAGAGGUCCGGAGGAACGCCGGUGGGGGAGCCGGCCGCCUGGGCCUGACCUGACGCUGAGACGCGACAGCGUGGGGAGCAAACCGG